AGAGUUUGAUCAUGGCUCAGGAUGAACGCUAGCGGUGCGCCUAACACAUGCAAGUCGAGCGAUAUAGCGGCGAACGGGUGAGUAACACGUUGGAACCUGCCCCGAACUCAGGGAUAGCCCACUGAAAAGUGGAUUAAUACCGGAUAGUCCCGAAAGGGUAAAGAUUUUUCGGUUCGAGAGGGGCCUGCGGCCUAUCAGCUUGUUGGUAGUGUAAUAGACUACCAAGGCUAUGACGGGUAUCUGGUGUGAGAGCAUGACCAGUCACAAUGGAACUGAGACACGGUCCAUACUCCUACGGGAGGCAGCAGUGAGGAAUCUUCCGCAAUGGGCGAAAGCCUGACGGAGCGACACCGCGUGGAGGACGACGGCCUUUUGGUUGUAAACUCCUUUUCUGGGGGAAUAAAUGAUGAAGGUACCCCAGGAAUAAGCACCGGCUAACUACGUGCCAGCAGCCGCGGUAAUACGUAGGGUGCAAGCGUUAUCCGGAAUCAUUGGGCGUAAAGCGUUCGUAGGCGGUUUGGAAAGUUUGUAGUUAAAUCUGGUCGCUCAACGAUCAACUUGCUACAAAAACUCUCAAGCUAGAGAAUAACAGGGGCAACUGGAAUUCCGCAUGUAGGGGUAAAAUCCGUUGAUAUGCGGAGGAACACCAAAAGCGAAGGCAGGUUGCUGGGUUAUUUCUGACGCUAAGGAACGAAAGCGUGGGGAGCGAACAGGAUUAGAUACCCUGGUAGUCCACGCCGUAAACGAUGGAUACUCGAUGUAGGGAGGACUCGACCCCUUUCUGUGUCUAAGCUAACGCGUAAGUAUCCCGCCUGGGGAGUACGGUCGCAAGAUUAAAACUCAAAGGAAUAGACGGGGACCCACACAAGCGGUGGAGCAUGUGGUUUAAUUCGAUGAUAAGCGGGGAACCUUACCCAGGCUUGACAUCUCCGGAAUCUCUAGGAAACUUGAGAGUGCCGCAAGGAACCGGAUGACAGGUGCUGCAUGGUCGUCGUCAGCUCGUGCCUUGAGGUGUUCGGUUAAGUCCGUAAACGAGCGCAACCCAUGUCUUGUGUUGCAAUUUCUCAUAGGAGACUGCCGGCUCCAAGUCGGAGGAAGGUAUGGAUGACGUCAGAUCAGCAUGGCCCUUAUGCCCUGGGCCACACACGUGCUACAAUGGCUGGUACAAUGAGUAGCGAACCCGCAAGGGGGAGCAAAUCUCAUCAAAGCCGGUCUAAGUUCGGAUUGGGGGCUGAAAUUCGACCCCAUGAAGUUGGAAUCGCUAGUAACCGCAAAUCAGCUAUGUUGCGGUGAAUACGUUCCUGGGUCUUGUACUCACCGCCCGUCACAUCAUGAAAGGUGGGAGUGCCCGAAGUCGCCUUAGCCCCUCGGGGCGGGUGCCUAAGGUAAAUCCACUGAUUGGGAUGAAGUCGUAACAAGGUA
rnacentral:rRNA from 1 species